AACGAACGCUGGCGGCAUGCCUAACACAUGCAAGUCGAACGAGACCUUCGUGUCUAGUGGCGCACGGGUGCGUAACGCGUGGGAACCUGCCCUUAGGUUCGGAAUAACUCCCCGUAGGGGGUGCUAAUACCGGAUAAUGUCUUCGGACCAAAGAUUUAUCGCCUUUGGAUGGGCCCGCGUUGGAUUAGCGAGUUGGUAGGGUAAAAGCCUACCAAGGCGACGAUGCAUAGCUGGUCUGAGACGAUGAUCAGCCACACUGGGAAUGAGACACGGCCCAGAAUCGUACGGGAGGGAGGAGUGGGUAAUAUUGGAGAAUGGGCGAAAGCCUGAUACAGCAAUGCCGGGUGAGUGAUGAAGGCGUUAGGGUUGUACAGCUCUUUUACACGGGAUGAUAAUGACAGUACCGGGAGAAUAAGCUCCGGCUAACUACGUG
rnacentral:rRNA from 1 species